rnacentral:lncRNA from 13 species
AGAAUCCUACCAGCCCUGAAAUUACCAUGUAUUUUAUAUUUUUCUGUUUCAGCCUGCAUUACAAAUUAAGUGAUAGUUGAAUUGCAUAACCUGUUGGAAGCCAAUAAUCAGGCAAUGUUAGUAGUACUUCAUCCUGCUUAGCUAAGGGAAUGCAUAAACUGCCACAAUAAUUAUUGUCUCAAGGUAUAAUAUUCUUUAUUCAAUUUUGAACAUCAUCUGUAAUGUUCUAUUAGUAGGUUAUGCAAAAAAAAAGUUUGCAAUGUCCAAUCACACACUACUUACUACCUUUUAGGACAGACCUGUCACAUAUUAGUGAGAUGAACAGGUCUUCACAACAUCCUCUGGUCUGGAGGAAACAGAGGUAGUUUCACUGUAUAGUCAAACAGAGAGCUAGUCACCAUCUGUUGUGUCCCCAUGCACUCAAUGAUCUGUAUGAUAAGGUGUGUGUGUGUGUGUGUGUGUGUGUGUGUGUGUGUGUGUGUGUGUGUGUGUGUGUGUGUGUGUGUGUGUGUGUGUGUGUGUGCGCGUAUGUAUGUGUGUGUGUGUGUGUGGAAGACUCGUCAACUGUCACUCUUUACACAAAGUGUUACAUGUUCCCUGGAUCGGCUGCACCUGCUGUGCCUCUAGAGCAAAGACUUGCCUUAAUGUGAACUAGGCUGAGUGAAGCCUUAAUGUGAAUUAGGCUGAGUGAAGCCUUAAUGUGAACUAGGCUGAGUGAAUAUAAACUAGUGAAACGUUUUGACACUAAGCUAACAUGUUCUUUAUGUAUGAUUCUUUCUAUGGGAAGAAAAUGAUUUAUUUAUACCUGGUGUUGGUCUACGAGAUGGGGGCUGGGGGUUGUAGGGCUUGGGAAUUUGCACUGGAAAAGGGCAGGGGGUUGGUGAUGGAGAAUGGGGUGGUGAUGGAAAUGAUGAAAAGUAGUGAUGCUGCUGAGUUGUUGACUCCAGGCUUCAUCAUACUAUCCAUGUCAGAAUGUCUCUGCAAACUAACUAUAUAUAUCAAUAUCUUCAAUAUAGAUCUGUCACUCAAAUGUUAAUGUGUUAAUUGUAAGAUAAAGCUCUCUGUCAAGUUUCCCUAUUAAUUGGAAGUGAAUCUUUCAGUUCCAUGAACUAUGACUGGUGUCCUUUCAGUCGAAACAGUUGUGUUUCUCUGAAUGCUUAAUAAGAUUUCAAAUAAUGAUGACCUAGAGUAGUCAGUUUACUGGAAAACGUUGUCUCCAGAAACCAUGGUAGAACUAAGGGCGCCAGUCAUUUCCUGUUAAGAAACGUUUUUUUCAUCAUGUGUAACAUACAUUCUCACUCAUCAUUAUUCACGAUCCAUUCAGGACUAUCCAUAACCAUGGUAGCAUCCACAUUAAUGUAGAGGUGUUUAGAAACAAAUUCUAUUCAUAUUUACAAAAAAAGUGACUCCAAAAUUAAAUCCAUUUCUAUCGGGCACAAAAUAAUCUGAAACACAACCAAAACAAACAGCAAAUGCAUCCAACAAGUUUGUGUAGUCACAACCUUAAUGUAAUCAUUGCGCACUAGGAACAUGGGACCAAAUGUUACAUUUUGACUACUUUAAUACACAUGAAAUUGUCCCAAUACUUUUGGUCCCCUAAAAUGGGGGACUAUGUACAAAAAGUGCUGUCAUUUUUUACUGAACUACCCUCAUAGUCAUUGUAUCAUUUCAAAUCCAACGUGUUGGAGUACAGAGCCAAAACAACUAAAUGAUCACGGUCCUUUUGGAGCUCACGGUAAGUGUUUAGAUACGUCUGUGCUACCAAGACUAUUGGCAUACGGCUUCCAUACAGUAUGUAACACGCUCCAAACAACACACCUGUCUGCGUUGUGCUCCAUGUUCCCCAUUGUUCAGCUGGAGAAGAUCUGUUGGAGUGUGUUGUGAUGUUCUGUUUAAAGUAGGAAGGAUGUGUCAUUGUUGUGUUCAGCUCAGCUCCAGACAAUGUGUGUGCGUCUGUGGAGACGUCGUGGAGACGUCGUGGAGACGUCGUGGAGACAAUACACAAGCUUUUUGGAGAGAUUUUUGUGAGGACAAACACCGUUGUUUCAGGCCAAAUAUACCCCCAUCAGUUGUACAACCUGAGUGUGUACCGUGUUGUACUGAGUUCACAUACAUAAUUCAUCUUUCUCUCUGUGCUUCCUGUGUUCCAUUACAUACAUUGUUCAACUGCUCUCCCUGACCUCAGAGAAGCCCUGGUAGCCAAGCUGGAGAACACUUGUUGUCAUGGAAAUUAAACUGUUCUAGGGCAACAAUAAUAACACACUACAGCCUGUGGAGAAUACAAUGCCAAGUAGAAGGAAACAGCGGAUGGAAUCCAUUUAGACUAACUGCUGCUAGGCCCGUAAAUAUAGCAGCCUAGUUUAUCUACUAAAAUGUUUGGGGAAGAGCCAACUAUUAAGUGCACCAGUGAUUGGCUUACUGUAUGCUGGAUUUCUGUUAGCCUGAGGCACAUGGAUGUUUCAUUCCUAUCGAAACUCUGAAUCGGAGUAUGAAAAAUAUAGGAAUAGGCUUUACCUCUUCUUCUCACUAGCCUCAUAGCCUACAUAUAGAAAGAGACUGUACCUCUUCUUAUUACUGGCCUCAUAGCCUCCAUAUAGAAAGAGCCUGUACCUCUUCUUCUCACUGGCCUCAUAGCCUCCA